GACGGCAGCACAGUGUAGCAAUACAUGGGUGGCGAGUGGCGCACGGGUGCGUAACACGUAUGCAAUUUGCCCAUAACUGGGGGAUAGCCCUCCGAAAGGAGGAUUAAUACCCCAUAACCCAACGAGGUGGCAUCACUUUUUUGGUAAAUCUCCGGAGGUUAUGGAUGAGCAUGCGUCCGAUUAGCUAGUUGGUGAGGUAACGGCUCACCAAGGCAACGAUCGGUAGGGGGUCUGAGAGGAUGAUCCCCCACACGGGUACUGAGACACGGACCCGACUCCUACGGGAGGCAGCAGUAAGGAAUAUUGGACAAUGGAGGCAACUCUGAUCCAGCCAUGCCGCGUGAAGGAUGAAGGCCCUACGGGUUGUAAACUUCUUUUCUCUUAGAAAAAACUACUGGUUUCGUACCGGUACUGAUUGUACAAGAGGAAUAAGCAUCGGCUAACUUCGUGCCAGCAGCCGCGGUAAUACGAAGGAUGCAAGCGUUAUCCGGAUUCACUGGGUUUAAAGGGUGUGCAGGUGGGGUAAUAAGUCAGUGGUGAAAGCCCCCGACUCAAUCGGGGAACUGCCAUAGAUACUGUUAUUCUUGAGUGUAGUUGAGGCGGAUGGAAUAUGACAUGUAGCGGUGAAAUGCUUAGAUAUGUCAUAGAACACCGAUCGCGAAGGCAGUCCGCCAAACUAUUACUGACACUGAAACACGAAAGUGCGGGGAUCAAACAGGAUUAGAUACCCUGGUAGUC
rnacentral:rRNA from 1 species